GAAGAAGUACUUUGAUUCAAAGGCAACUUAUUCACUUCGUCUCCGAAACAAGCCUAAGGAUAUGGAUGUAAAAGAUUGGAAGUAUUUGGUUAAUCUUUGGACAGAAAAUGCAUUUCAGGAGAGAAGCAACAAAAAUAAGACAAAUAGAUGCAAGCGUUCUAUGCCGCCAUACACGGGGACAAAAAGCUUUGCUCGGCUGAGAGAUCAUAUGAAGAAAAAAAAAAGAAAAAACACCUUCUCGCUUAGAGCUUUUUCUUGAAUCCAGAAAGAGAAAGCAAGGCAAAGAAAUUGAUCCAAUAUCACAAGAAGCCAUUGAAAAGUUUCAGCAACUAAAGAAAGAACGAGAAGAAGGA